rnacentral:rRNA from 1 species
GACGAACGCUGGCGGCGUGCUUAACACAUGCAAGUCGAACGCUGAAGCUCAGCUUUUGUUGGGUGGAUGAGUGGCGAACGGGUGAGUAACACGUGAGUAACCUGCCCCCUUCUUUGGGAUAACGCCCGGAAACGGGUGCUAAUACUGGAUAUUCACUGGUCUUCGCAUGGGGGUUGGUGGAAAGGGUUUUUCUGGUGGGGGAUGGGCUCGCGGCCUAUCAGCUUGUUGGUGGGGUGAUGGCCUACCAAGGCUUUGACGGGUAGCCGGCCUGAGAGGGUGACCGGUCACAUUGGGACUGAGAUACGGCCCAGACUCCUACGGGAGGCAGCAGUGGGGAAUAUUGCACAAUGGGCGCAAGCCUGAUGCAGCGACGCCGCGUGAGGGAUGGAGGCCUUCGGGUUGUGAACCUCUUUCGCUCAUGGUCAAGCCGCAACAAUGGUUGUGGUGAGGGUAGUGGGUAAAGAAGCGCCGGCUUACUACGUG